GACGAACGCUGGCGGCGUGCUUAACACAUGCAAGUCGAACGGAAAGGCCCUGCUUUUGUGGGGUGCUCGAGUGGCGAACGGGUGAGUAACACGUGAGUAACCUGCCCUUGACUUUGGGAUAACUUCAGGAAACUGGGGCUAAUACCGGAUAGGAGCUCCUGCUGCAUGGUGGGGGUUGGAAAGUUUCGGCGGUUGGGGAUGGACUCGCGGCUUAUCAGCUUGUUUGUGGGGUAGUGGCUUACCAAGGCUUUGACGGGUAGCCGGCCUGAGAGGGUGACCGGCCACAUUGGGACUGAGAUACGGCCCAGACUCCUACGGGAGGCAGCAGUGGGGAAUAUUGCACAAUGGGCGGAAGCCUGAUGCAGCAACGCCGCGUGCGGGAUGACGGCCUUCGGGUUGUAAACCGCUUUCGACUGUGACGAAGCGUGAGUGACGGUAAUGGGUAAAGAAGCACCGGCUAACUACGUG
rnacentral:rRNA from 1 species